rnacentral:rRNA from 1 species
GAUGAACGCUGGCGGCGUGCCUAAUACAUGCAAGUCGAGCGAACAGACGCGGAGCUUGCUCCUCUGACGUUAGCGGCGGACGGGUGAGUAACACGUGGAUAACCUACUUAUAAGACUGGGAUAACCUCGGGACACCGGAGCUAAUACCGGAUAAUCUAUUGAACCGCAUGGUUCAAUAGUGAAAGACGGUUUUGCUGUCUCUUAUAGAUGGAUCCGCGCCGCAUUAGCUAGUUGGUAAGGUAACGGCUUACCAAGGCUACGAUGCGUAGCCGACCUGAGAGGGGGAUCGGCCACCCUGGAGCGGAGACACGGUCCAGACGCCUACGGGAGGCAGCAGUAGGGAAUCUGCGGCAAUGGGCGAGAGCCUGACGGAACGACGCCGCGUCAGUGAUGAAGGUCUUCGGAUCGUAAUGCUCUGUUAUGAGGGGAGAACAAAUGUGUAAGUAACUAUACACGGCUUGACGGUACCUGGUCAGAAAGCCACGGCUAACUACGUG